GUACACGCUGUGACUAGCAUAUCAAUAAGCGGAGGAAAAGGAAACUAACAAGGAUUCCCUUAGUAACGGCGAGUGAAGCGGGAAGAGCUCAAAUUUGAAAUCUUCAAGGUUUUACCUUGACGAAUUGUAGUUUAAAGAAGUGUUUUCUGCUGAAGUUUUGGUAAAAGUUCUUUGGAAUAGGACAUCAUAGAGGGUGAGAAUCCCGUAUUUGACCAUUAUUUUCAGCUGUGUGAUACACUUUCAAAGAGUCGGAUUGUUUGGGAAUGCAGUCCAAAAUGGGUGGUAAACUUCAUCUAAAGCUAAAUAUUGGCGAGAGACCGAUAGCGAACAAGUACCGUGAGGGAAAGAUGAAAAGAACUUUGAAAAGAGAGUUAAACAGUACGUGAAAUUGUCAAAAGGGAAGCGUUUGACACCAGUGUUGUUUUCUCGAAAAUCAAUUAAAAAGAGUUGGAUUUUGUGUUGUAUUGACCUUAACAGCUUUCUGCACUCUUUUCCUGCUUUUUUUAAUGCACUUUUCGUUUAACAAGUCAACAUCAGUUUCUUUUGUUGUAAAAGGGUCAUUGGAAGGUGGCUUUCUUUUCGGAGAAAGUGUUUAUAGCCUUUGCUCUCUGCAAUCGGAGAGACUGAGGUCUGCAGCGUAGACUCUUCGGGGUUAGAUACAUUUGUGCUAAGUUAUAGCUUUUUAUAGACAACUUGUUGACUAUAAUUAGUCUUGUAGCUUACUCGCUUAUGCUAUUUUACCUACGCUUAGGAUGUUGACGCAUGAGAUAUACGC
rnacentral:rRNA from 1 species